GGUGAUGAAAUCAUGGCACAGGUAAUCAUUUAAUCAACCAUUCUGCAUCAACUUCAGAUUUCAACUCUGGUUGGAUUAGUGUAUCACUUUGUAUUUCACCAUUUAUGGCACUAAGCAUCUAGCUGAUAGCGAGAGCAUGGGUGGGAAGCCUGAUUUCUAUUGGUUAAUACUUUAGUAAGGUAGUAUUAGAAAAUGUGAAUUGGGUUCAUACCUAAUGUUACAUAUGCUGUCUCAUAAAGGUGGAUUAGAGUUCU
rnacentral:misc_RNA from 1 species